CGCACAGUAAACGAUGAUAACUAGUUGUUUGCGAUAUACAGUAAGCGACCAAGCGAAAGCGAUAAGUUAUCCACCUGGGGAGUACGCCGGCAACGGUGAAACUCAAAGGAAUUGACGGGGGCCCGCACAAGCGGAGGAGCAUGUGGUUUAAUUCGAUGAUACGCGAGGAACCUUACCAGGGCUUGAAAGUUAAGGAAUGAUUAUGAAAGUAGUCAGUCAGCAAUGACCUAAAACUAGGUGC
rnacentral:rRNA from 1 species